CUAACCAGCACACUCAGCUUCAUCAGAAGGAAACAUCUGCCAACCAGAAGAACCAGAUCCUGAUGAAUUCUGAAUAAGCAAGGAGUCUGUCUGGAAGAGAUGCGCGCUUCAGAAAAAGUUUUGCAUCCAGAUCCGGGAGAGAAUCACAGCGGUGCAACUCUGGAAGCAAGAAGACAAAUCAAUAGCUGUUUUUCCUGGACCAGCUCUCUUCUCUAUAGUCCACAGCGUCUCUGAUGAGGAGGUGGCAUCUGGAAGUAGUCUACAAAGCAGGACUUCGGACCCAGGUCUGAGCACCCUCUUCACUAGGACCUCAGUCAAGCUAUCCAGCCUUUUCUGUACGUGCAAAGGGGGUGAUAAAUGGGUCUGCCAUGAGGAUUGGGCUUCUUCUGAGGAGCCUCAGUUGACUGAUACAUGGACGUAUACAUGCUAUAUGCAGGCAUAGUUGUUAGUGUCAUAAUUAGACUUCCAUUGCCGUGAUAAAACACCAUGACUGGAGAAAAACCAGAGCAGGAGCUUCCGAGAAAUUACAAGGGUUAGAACUUUAAGAAGGUAGCAUGCACACUGUGAGCACUAAAUAACCCAGAGGUGCCUGGGACUCGAUGUGGGUACGACAGGGACAACUUCCGAAGCUAUUAAUUAAUCGAGGCAAGCCGAGUGCCGAACAGCGUUACUAGGAUACAGCCACAGAGAGUUGGGGUGCACAUCUGGGCACAACUGGAAGCCGAAGAUCAUUCCUCUUACAACUCGGCUUGGACAAAUGCCAGGCCCACCAGAGGCACUGAGGCCCGCGAGAUAAAGGCUCAGCCAGGAUCAGAGGGGCUCCAGAGAGUGUUCAAAAUGCCCCUGCGGAGGACUAAACGAAGCAACAGUGCUGAAGCCCAGGGGCACGUGACUCAGCCCAGCCAUCUCCAGCCAGGAGCCACAGUAUGUGCAGACCAUGUGCUGGUCUGAAGGUCUGUCCUCCUGCAGGGGCUUUAAGUGACUUGUCACAUCUUCCUCUCCCAGUAGUAGCUGUAUCUGCCUCUGCAGAUUUGACCGACCACAGAUCAAAAUUAUAAGGGAAAAGUUAAGCCCCGGAAGCACAUUUCUGUAACUCUAGCACAUGGGUGACAGAGGCAGGGAGGAGUAUAAAUUUAAGGCUAUACUGGACUACGUAGACUGGGACUCAAAAAAAUUACAAAGGAAAGUAUUAAUCUGCACUAAAUAUGAAUGGCCUUUUGUUCCUGU